rnacentral:tRNA from 1 species
AGUUAAUGAACUUGUUAUAAGUAUAUAUUUUGAAAAUAUAAAAAAGAGUUAUGUUUCUCUAUUAACUU